GGGGUAUAGAGAGCUUGCUUUCUAGAGACCGGCGGAUGGGUGAGUAACGCGUAUGCAACCUACCUUUUACAGGGGAAUAGCCCGGAGAAAUUCGGAUUAAUGCUCCAUGGUUUAUAUGAAUGGCAUCGUUUGUAUAAUAAAGAUUUAUCGGUAAAAGAUGGGCAUGCGUAUCAUUAGCUAGUUGGUGUGGUAACGGCAUACCAAGGCUACGAUGAUUAGGGGUCCUGAGAGGGAGAUCCCCCACACUGGUACUGAGACACGGACCAGACUCCUACGGGAGGCAGCAGUGAGGAAUAUUGGUCAAUGGAGGCAACUCUGAACCAGCCAUGCCGCGUGCAGGAUGACGGUCC
rnacentral:rRNA from 1 species